GCACAAGCGGUGGAUGAUGUGGUUUAAUUCGAUGCAACGCGAAAACCUUACCCACCUUUGACAUGGCAGGAAUCCCGAAGAGAUUGGGAGUGCUCGAAAGAGAACCUGCACACAGGUGCUGCAUGGCUGUCGUCAGCUCGUGUCGUGAGAUGUUGGGUUAAGUCCCGCAACGAGCGCAACCCUUGCCAUUAGUUGCUACGAAAGGGGCACUCUAAUGGGACUGCCGGUGACAAACCGGAGGAAGGUGGGGAUGACGUCAAGUCCUCAUGGCCCUUAUAGGUGGGGCUACACACGUCAUACAAUGGCCGGUACAGAGGGUAGCCAACCCGCGAGGGGGAGCCAAUCCCACAAAGCUGGUCGUAGUCCGGAUCGCAGUCUGCAACUCGACUGCGUGAAGUCGGAAUCGCUAGUAAUCGCGGAUCAGCAUGUCGCGGUGAAUACGUUCCCGGGUCUU
rnacentral:rRNA from 1 species